rnacentral:rRNA from 1 species
GCAGCAGGCGCGAAACCUUUACACUGCACGCCAGUGCGAUAGGGGGACUCCAAGUGCGAGGGCAUAUCGUCCUCGCUUUUACCGACCGUAAGGAGGUCGGCGAAUAAGGGCUGGGCAAGACCGGUGCCAGCCGCCGCGGUAAUACCGGCAGCCCAAGUGAUGGCCGCUCUUAUUGGGCCUAAAGCGUCCGUAGCUGGCCACGCAAGUCCGUCGGGAAAUCUCCCUGCUUAACGGGGAGGCGUCCGGUGGAAGCUGCGUGGCUUGGGACCGGAAGACCUGAGGGGUACGUCCGGGGUAGGAGUGAAAUCCCGUAAUCCUGGACGGACCACCGGUGGCGAAAGCGCCUCGGGAAGACGGAUCCGACGGUGAGGGACGAAAGCUCGGGUCACGAACCGGAUUAGAUACCCGGGUAGUCCGAGCUGUAAACGAUGUCUGCUAGGUGUGACACAGGCUACGAGCCUGUGUUGUGCCGUAGGGAAGCCGUGAAGCAGACCGCCUGGGAAGUACGUCCGCAAGGAUGAAACUUAAAGGAAUUGGCGGGGGAGCACUACAACCGGAGGAGCCUGCGGUUUAAUUGGAUUCAACGCCGG